UGUGAAUAAGAUCUGCUCUGCUCUCUCUGGAACAAGGGACCAGGUUCUCAUACUGACUGAGGCUGCGGGCUGCCAUAUUCAAGACUGUCAUGAAGCCAAAGAAAGCCUACUUACCUGUGGUGACCCUGGAUUCUGUACAACUGAUUUGUUGAUACAGAAGAGAGUCAUGCAAACUACAGAAAUCCACCCAAAACCGAGAGAAGGAGAGUAUCUGUUUUCAGAGGAGCUGUCUGCUUUGGGAGGAAGUUCCAGAAGUGAGCCUCAGGAAUUACAACAUUAAUUGAGAAACUGAAUGAUUAAAAUUGUAGUAACAAAUAGCUUUCCUUGGAACUGUCCCAGAAUCUAUUAUUUUUUUUUCCUUUUCUGUCAUUAACAAAAACACCAACAAAAAUCAUCAUGUGUGAAAGAGGUACUAUAAUAAAAACCCUAGCAGUGUCUACUGCGUGCUUCGUGCAAGGUAUCCAUGAUGGUCUUAACUCACCACAGAAGAACUUGGGGGAGUGUGGUCAAUGCCAGGGGUUCACGGGGAAAAAUGAAGUUGUCCACAGGUUGACCUCCUUUUUGCACCACUGGGAAUUACUCUUUGCAUAAGAAAAUACUGCCUAUUGGAAAUGGGAGGUGAAAUUACACAUUGGACAAAUGGGGCAGAAAUUGACCCAGAGGUUUUUAUUUUUCUGUGUUGCUCCUUGUCCCUAAAUACACUGAAAAUUCUUGACAUUCAUACAGUAUUUUCUCUUUCAUCCAAGCACCCAGUUCACUGGUGAUGCACAGGAAAGAAUUGUUGAUGUUCUUUGGGCUUGUGUGGGAACUAAGGUGAUAGAUACUUGUAUUUAAUGAAUGAUGAGUCUGUGGCAAAUGCCUUGGAAAGUGCUACAUAUACAUCACCUAUUUAAUCCUCAGAACCAUUCUCUGGGGUCAAAAUUAUUGGUCCCAAUUUACAGCUGGGAAUGUCG
rnacentral:lncRNA from 10 species